CAGGAGUUGGGGAGGAGAGGGGGAUCAGCAGAAGGCCCCUGGGGAAUGGAAGAGCCAUCACAAUGCAGACUUUGAUGCACCUCAGUGUGGAGAAUUGAGCUUAAGGCUGGAAAAAUGAAGAGACAAACUGAAAUUGACAGAUUCCCCCAUCUAAACAUACAGCAUAGAAUGGCAAGAAAGAAAACAACCCCUGAACCACAUCCUGAAUGGUGAUCUGUUGUUAUAUGUGAAUACAUGGGACCUUUCCACCAUGACUCCAUCUCUCGAUCUUUUUCCAUGAUGUGUUGGCAGUAAGGAAAUGG